AAAGGUUUGACCGGACGCCCCAGAGCCCCCGCCUUAGCCAGAGCAGGGACUUCCCCUAUGCUGGCCUCUGUUUCCCCAUCUGUCAAAUGGGGGUCUUAAGAGCCCUUCGCUCCAUCCCUGGCACCAUUAGGUCUAGAGCGAGGCGGCUGCCAUCUUUACUGAUUCCAGAGAAGGAGACGGGGCUCGGUGCUGCCCGGCCCUGCCUGCCGUUGGCUCUUGAGGAGUUUAUAUUCUGGGGGGGUGGGGGGGGGGUUCAGAGCUUCAGGGGUGCCUCAGCUGAGGAGCCUCAGUCUCAGCAAGUUCGCCUCUGCGGGCUGCAGGACAGGAGCCCCAUGGAUCUGGGGGGCCCCGGCCGGAGGCUGACCAUGGUUUGGGGCUCCAUCACUGCUGGGAGGCAGAUGCCCGGCCGCCAGCAUCCCCAGGGCUUUGCCACCUUCUGUACCCCAGGGGGCUCCACAGAUGUUGCCUGAGCAGCUGGCUAAAGCCGCCGGGGCUCCCCGAAGGACGGAGCCAGGCAGAGGCUGCUGCUUUGGCCUCCCCUUCCAGAAGGAAGCGUCCCCGCAGCGUCGGGAGCCCCGGCGUGGAGGGAGGGUGUGCCCGGCCGGGAGGGCAGUGCCAGCUCAUCGCGUGGGCACGGCUGCUGGGCGAGAGCCAGCUGGGGGGUCUGUGCAGGAAGGAAGCUGGGGGUUGGGGGAGGCCCGGUCGGUGACCCCGGCGUGCACAGCCACGAGUCUGGGAGGUGAGGCUGGGGCAGCGGGCGGCCAGAGUCAGGCCAUCCCAGCCGAGGCCGGGCCGGGCCUCCCAGAGCCGCCUCCUCGGUCCGUCCCUCGCCCCGUCCCGGCCCUGUCCGCCACCCUUCCUCGGCCUCAGCCUGAGGCCACCCUGGCCUCCCCCGGGGGGGGGGCUGCGGGGAGGGGGGAGGGCGGGGGAGGGCGUCCAGCCUCAGGGCGGCUCUCGCCCCCAGCUGGAGAACGCCCUCCUGGACGCCUACGACCUGGCUUACGAGCGGGCCCUGCGGAACGCCUCGGAGCCCUGGAGGCAGAAGCUGGGCGCCGUCCCGACACGGUGAGCCCUGGGGGGCCCUUUGGCCCACAAGGCAGGGAGGGGGGCGCCCCGCUUUGGCUGCUGGGCCGCCCCUCACCCGGCCUGUCCUUUAGAUGGGCUGCUGCGGGAAGAGCUCGCCUUUGGGCCGGCGGGGCGCCGAGGAGCAGCACCUGUGCCAGGGCGCCGGGCAGAGGGAGGAUUGCCUCCAGGAGAUCAGAAGCUUUGCGAGGAAGCAUCUGGGCGCAGCCACCCUCCUGUUCAUCCUCACCCUGGCUUUCACGGUUCAUGGGAUGUCCCUCACCUCCUUCCUCUGGCUGAGCAUCCAUUACAGCAGGAACCUGGACCGGAAAGGCCGCUACAGCCUGACCGCCCGCUAGGACCCCCCUCAGAGGGGCCCUGCAGGGCAUCGGCAGCCCUCAGGCCCCGCGUGACCCGCACACGCCCGCAGAGCCUCGGCGUCCUCAUCUGUCAAAAAGAGCGCGGGCAUCGCCACUGUUGGGGAAAAGCGCCCCGAAUCCGUGGCUCAGGCCCGGCUCCCCUCCCUUUCCCCCAGCUCCAGACGGCACAGGCCAGAGCAGGAUGGGGGGCCUUUACUCAGGCCCCCCCCAUGUCAGGGGGUCCUUGGAACUUCGUCUUUGUACACUUUCCCUUAUCCUCUUGUCACUCUUACUGGCCCUGAAAAGCCUGAUGGGGAGGCUGGGGCAGAGGAGCCCGGGGCCCCGACUUCUCAAGCACAGGGAGCCCAGGGCACGCCCCUUCCCUCCUCUUCCUCAUCCACCCGGGGAGAAGAGGAAGGCCCGAACCGGCCCGAGAAGACAUUCCUUGUCUCCCCUUUUACCAAGGAGGGGACAGUCGCCCAGCACGCAGCCUCUCUUAACCCCUACUUCCGGCUUAGAAGUCGCUUAGUCCCGAGGCCGAGGAGCCGGAGGGGUUCAUCCGGGGUCCCCCACAAGGCUGCGUCUGAGCCCCCAUCUUCCUGCCUUUAUCCACGUCCCCAAUUCAGCCAAGCAGGGAGCCAGAGAGCCAGAGAGAGCGCCAUAAAAGUGACGAAUAAAUACAUACAAAGCGGCA
ensembl:lncRNA